rnacentral:rRNA from 1 species
AACGAACGCUGGCGGCGCGUCUUAAACAUGCAAGUCGAACGGCAGGACGGGGCUUGCCCCUUCUGAGAGUGGCGGACUGGUGAGUAACACGUGGGUGACAUACCUCUUAGUUGGGGAUAGCUAUUAGAAAUAGUAGGUAAUACCGAAUGUGACCGUACCUGUUAGAAGGGUACGAGGAGAGGAGCUAAGGCUUCGCUAAAAGAAUGGCUCGCGGCCCAUUAUGCUGGUUGGUGAGGUAACGGCCCACCAAGGCGAUGAUGGGUAUCCGGCCUGAGAGGGUGAAUGGACACAUUGGGACUGAGAUACGGCCCAGACUUCUACGGGAGGCAGCAGUUAAGAAUAGUCCGCAAUGGACGAAAGUCUGACGGAGCGACGCCGCGUGGAUGAAGAAUGCCGAAAGGUUGUAAAAUCCUUUUAAGCCUGAUGAAUAAGCACAGUAGGGAAUGAAUGUGCGGUGACCGUAGGGCGUGAAUAAGCACCGGCUAAUUACGUG